rfam:Ixodes scapularis strain Wikel colony gcontig_1107729164516, whole genome shotgun sequence.
GCAGUCGUGGCCGAGUGGUUAAGGCGAUGGACCAGAAAUCCAUUGGGGUCUCCCCGCACAGGUUGGAAUCCUGCCGACUGCG